CAGCCGCCACGGUAAUGCGGAGGGGGCUAGCGUUGUUCGGAAUUACUGGGCGUAAAGCGCACGUAGGCGGCUUGGUAAGUUAGAGGUGAAAGCCCGGAGCUCAACUCCGGAAUUGCCUUUAAGACUGCCGAGCUAGUAGGUGAGAGAGGUAAGUGGAAUUCCGAGUGUAGAGGUGAAAUUCGUUGAGAUCGGAAAGAACACCAACGGCGAAAGCACUCUGCUGGGCCGACACUAACACUGAGAGACGAAAGCUAGGGGAGAAAAUGGGAUUAGAUACCCGAGUAGUCCCUGUCUCUUAUAC
rnacentral:rRNA from 1 species